rnacentral:vault_RNA from 1 species
GGACUGGCUUUAGCCCAGCAGUUCUUUCGAGUCUGGCUUCCCAACCGCGGGCGCUCUCCAGUCCUUUA